rnacentral:tRNA from 1 species
GCCUCUAUAGCUCAGUUGGUUAGAGCGCUGCACCGGAAUCGCAGGGCCGUAGGUUCAAUUCCUACCAGAGGAC